GUGGUUAUCCGGGGUGGUUGCUAAGGUGUUGCUAGGUGGUUGCUAAGGUGUUGCUAGGUGGUUGCUAAAGUGUUGCUAUGGUAUCCGGGGUGCUUGCUAAGGUGUUGCUAGGCGGUUGCUAUGGUAUCUGGGUUGGUUGCUAAGGUGUUGCUAGGUGGUUGCUAAGGUGUUGCUAGGUGGUUGCUAGGUGGUUGCUAGGUGGUUGCUAAGGUGUUGCUAGAUGGUUGCUAAGGUGUUGCUAUGGUAUCCGGGGUGGUUGCUAAGGUGUUGCUAGGUGGUUGCUAGGCGGUUGCUAAGGUGUUGCUAUGGUAUCCGAGGUGGUUGCUAAAUGGUUACUAGGCAGUUGCUAACGUAUUCCACAUGGUUGCUAAGUGGUUGCUAGGCACUUGCUAAUGUUUUCCAGGUGGUUGCUAAGGUGUACCUAACUGGUUGCUAGGCAGUUGCUAAUUUUUCUAAAGUGGUUGCUAAGCAGUUGCUAGGCAGUUGCUAACGUUUUCCAGGUGGUUGCUAAGGUGUUGCUAACUGGUUGCUAGGCAGUUGCUAACGUAUUCCACAUGGUUGCUAAGUGGUUGCUAGGCAGUUGUGAUCAUUUCUAAAGUGGUUGCUAAGUGGUUUC